rnacentral:misc_RNA from 1 species
GCCCAUCAACGCUCAAGUGUCUCCGCCAUGUCACAUGUGACCGGCGCGGCCAGAUGCGGACGAUGGCCCUCCGAGCGAGAGUGCACGGUGGGCCCAAGCGUGCGUUCGUCGGAUGCGGUCGGAGCGGCGAGUGGUGGGAUCCUUCGCAUGCCGCCUCGUGCCCUUUUCCGGCGUCUGGCGCUUAGCUUCGACCCCUUACGAGGAGCUCGUCGUCGGUGCGUCCGGCUCCGAGCAACCCUUGGACC